UCGUUUCCGGUUCAGCCCAGGAGGCUUCCGAGUGUUUCUGCCUUCCGCUUCUCUGGGCCGCCGACCAUUUCUCUAACGUUUUUCCAGGUCUUUCGGUUGGUGGGGAAGGUAGUUGCCAAUAAAGUUUCCCCGUUUGAAAGUUUGGCGGAUUGGGCCGGGCGAAUCCUCUGUCCCCUUGUUCAUUGUCCUCAGUCUUUCUAGGCUACAGGCAAGGAGUCUCAAGGCGUCAUGGCCAGGGGCCGGUCCGGCCCGGCCGGUCUGAGGCCAACUUACGUUGCCCGCGCUCUUUUAUGGCUUUUGGCCCCGCAGGCGUCCGCCUCAGCGUGAGCGCAGUCCCUCCGCGCCCACGGGCCGCCUUGUGCUGGACCCCAUGGCCUCCGAGGCUCCGUCGCCUUCGUUGUCGCCGUCGUCACCUCCCUCCCCUGAGCCUGAACUGGCCCAGCUGAGGCGGAAAGUAGAGAAGUUGGAACGCGAGCUGCGGAGCUGCAAGCGGCAGGUGCGGGAGAUCGAGAAGCUGCUUCAUCACACGGAGCGGCUGUACCAGAGCGCAGAGAGCAACAACCAGGAGCUCCGCACCCAGGUAGAAGAGCUCAGUAAAAUACUCCAUUGUGGGAGAAAUGAAGACAAUAAGAAGUCUGAUGUAGAAGUACAAACAGAGAACCAUCCUGCUUGGUCAAUCUCAGAUUAUUAUUAUCAGACAUACUAUAAGGAUGUCAGUCUUCCAAAUAAAGUGACUGAACUCUCAGUUCAGCAAGAUCAGGAUAUCGAAGCUUCCACUUUUAAUUCUGAAGAUCAGUCACAAAUAGAAAAUGAUGCUUACGCUGGUGCUGAUAUAACAGAACAUGUUAAAUGUGCAGAAGAGGACCAUUUUGCCUCAAAUUCAAAUUCACAGGAGCCAGCAUCUGUAUUAGCAGCAGAAGAUACAUCCUUAGAAGGUUCUUCAUUAGCUGAAAGUUUGAGAGCUGCAGCAGAAGCUGCUGUGUCUCAGACUGGAUUUAGUUAUGAUGAGAACACUGGACUAUAUUUUGAUCAUAGCACUGGUUUCUAUUAUGAUUCUGAAAAUCAACUAUAUUACGAUCCUUCCACUGGAAUUUAUUACUACUGUGAUGUGGAAAGUGGUCGAUAUCAAUUUCAUUCUCGAGUUGAUUUGCAACCUUAUCAGACAUGUGGCACAAAACAAAAUAAGGAAAAAAAAAUGAAGAAGAAAAGAAAGGAUCCAGAUUCUUCUGUAACAAAUGAGGAAAAGGAUUUGAAUUCAGAAGAUCAGAAAGCAUCCAAUGUUGAACGUGUAAGCUGCAGUGAGGGAGAAGAUUUUGCAAAUGUGAAAAAGAAGGCCAGAAUAGACAUUCAUUACAAAAGUAGUCCUGCCAAAUUUACUGUUCCAGUUAGCGGAAAGACUACAGACUCUUCUGUUAGUGAAAACAUUUAUAAUUCGACGUCAUUUAAAGAUGAGAAAAUCAUGGAGACUGAUAGUGAGCCAGAAGAAGGUGAAAUUACAGACUCUCAGACAGAGGACAGUUACGAUGAAGACAUUACUAGUGAAGACAAUGUAACUGCAGAAGAUACUGAGGAUGAAGAUGAAGAAAAAAUUUGGCCCCCAUGUAUUAGAGUAAUUGUUAUUAGAUCACCAGUAUUGCAGACAGGAUCACUUUUUAUCAUUACAGCUGUAAACCCUGCUACAAUUGGAAGAGAAAAAGAUAUGGAGCAUACUCUCCGAAUCCCUGAAGUUGGUGUUAGUAAGUUUCAUGCAGAAAUUUAUUUUGACCAUGACUUACAAAGUUACGUUCUUGUGGAUCAAGGUAGUCAAAAUGGUACAAUUGUUAAUGGAAAACAGAUUCUUCAGCCUAAAACUAAAUGUGACCCUUACGUCCUUGAGCAUGGUGAUGAAGUGAAAAUUGGAGAGACUGUACUGUCUUUUCAUAUCCACCCUGGCAGUGAUACCUGUGAUGGCUGUGAACCAGGACAGGUUAGAGCUCACCUUCGUCUUGAUAAGAAAGAUGAAUCUUUUGUUGGUCCAACACUAAGUAAGGAGGAAAAAGAGUUGGAAAGGAGAAAAGAAUUAAAGAAAAUACGAGUAAAAUAUGGUUUGCAGAAUACAGACUAUGAAGAUGAAAAGGCAUUGAAGAAUCCAAAAUACAAAGAUAGAGCUGGAAAACGGAGGGAGCAGAUUGGAAGUGAAGGGACUUUCCAAAGAGAUGAUGCUCCUGCAUCUGUUCAUUCUGAAAUUACUGAUAGCAACAAAGGUCGGAAGAUGUUGGAGAAGAUGGGUUGGAAAAAAGGAGAGGGCCUAGGGAAGGAUGGUGGAGGAAUGAAAAUUCCGAUCCAGCUUCAACUUCGGCGAACACAUGCAGGCUUGGGGACCGGCAAACCAUCUUCCAUUGAAGAUGUUCACAUUCUCCAAAACAAGAGCAAAAAGAAUUGGGAGAAAGCACGAGAGAGGUUUGCUGAAAACUUCCCAGAAACUAAAUCUCAAAAAGAUGUGCCAGGAACCGUCCCUUGGGUCAAAGGGACCAUAGAAUAAAGGUUGUGUUCUACAAUUAGAAACACCCGGAUUUAAAACUUGGUUUUCAGAUGGUUUGACAGAACCCAUGGCAUUGUCUUAAAGGAGCUGAGGCAGGUCACUUCGCCUUGGUGAAGUGUGUGGCCUCAUUUGUAAAAUCUGGACAAUUACGUCAUGAGGACAAAAGAGUAGGUACAAGAGACCAUACUCAUGACUGUUGCACACAUCUUCAGUUCUAGGGAGUGAAUGAUAGAGUGAGUACCUCAAAACUGUGAAAGAAGUUUGAUAUACUCCUGUUUCUGUUUUUUUUUUUUUUUUUUUUUUUUUUGAGAAUAAGCAUGUUACUGUCAACAUUUCUUCUAAAGUGAACAAAAAAUCCAGUUAACUCAAUGACUCAAAGGUCAGUUGAUGUUAAACUAUCAUGUAAUCAUGUAAUCAUACCAUGUUGGAGCCAAAGAGGACAUUAAUGAUCACCUCAUCCAUUUUGCAGACAAGCAGAUUUAGAUUGUGGAAAGUUAAGAAGUUCAAACAUUUAAAAGUAGAAUUCCCUAUUGAGUGGCAGCAAAACAAAAGCCCAGUCUUAAUGAAUGCCUAAGAUGUCAAAAAUAUGGACAGCUUUUUAAAAUAGAAAGCCCAAACCAGCUCUUCCGUCCCCCAGCUCCAGGGAUGACAACUUGGGUAUAUAAAGGGCUCUAGCUGUUUCAACUUUGGCUGUCAGUACCCUGCUUUGCUUCCCCCUCGUCUCUGCCAAAUUUUAACUUAAAGAAGUGACUGAUCACUUUACAUCAUGGGAGGAGUUCAGAAGUUGGGUUCAGGGCAUUCUGCAUCCCCGCUGCAGCCAUCUACCUCGCCACUGAGUGCUUGCUCUCAAAGGCAGCAUGUGGGUGGCUCUAUUAGCAAACCCAGUCAUGGAAGUCAGGGAAGCCCAGCUGAUCUAGGCGAGUUGUGUCACUGUCACCCAUCAGCAAUGACAGCUGUGAGUCAACUGGGUCACAGGCAGACCAGUGCAGUCCCCAUAACCCAUCUCUACAUUCUCUGGAGGCCAGCUUGACUUAUUGGUCCUGACAGCACUUGGGCUUUGACAGAUGAGCCAGCAGAAGUCCUUAAGGCUAAAGAGACACAGUAUCUGUUGGGGUUGGAGUCAUUGAACCACCAUAGCCAUUAUCUCCUGAUGGUGGGCAAGUCACUCAGGGGCUCAUUUUUCUCUUCUGUCAAAUGAUAGUGUUAGACUGGACAAGGGCUGCAUUUCUCUCUAGGCUUUUCUAAAAGUGGGGAUUACACUAGUCUUUGUUGGGUUUUGUGUAUUUUACCUAAGAGAGUGGAAUUGUCAGGAGUUCUAAUUUGAGACAUGUAAAUAAUUUUAUUUUUUAUUAUAAAAGUAAUUCAUGCUUGGUGUAAAAAAAAAAUACAAUAAUGCAGAACUAUAUAAAGCAGAAAGUAAAAUCUCUUUGCUUAACUCCCACCGCUAGCACUGAGUUAUAGUGAGGCUAUUUCCCCCUGUCUCACAAACAGAAGCUAUUGGUGCUCCCAUUAGUCAUCUUUCUUGAGCGAGCAGUUGGAGAUUCUAAAAGUCAAUCUUUGCUGAUAUUAAUGGUUCUAACAGUUGGUGAAAUAGAAGAGUAAUGUUUGUAGAUGAUUUCUUUCUUCUAAAGUGUUCAAAUUCCUCAUAUAGCCAAAGUUAUACAUCCACGUGAAUAAGUUACAUUUCAGUACUUAAUAGAAAUAACAUACUAUUUUUAGAAAAUGUAAAGACUGUGAAAGACGAAAGAAUAAAAUACCUUAAAAUGUUUAUACAGUUUUCCUAAGGUGACAGGAUUUGGGGGGUUGUUGUUCUGAUUUCUUCCUAGAUUGGGGCAUUGCCUUUGUGUUACUUGGGUAUUGAAAAACGUUUUAAGAAAAACAUUCCUUAUAAUGACAUACUAAUAGUGAAAUACUAAUUUGGAUUCAAACCGAACAGUGCAAUAAUGGACACUUGACUAAAAAACUUAAAAAAAAUUAUGACUGCUAUUUCCUUCUAGGCUAUUUUUUUCUGCUGUGACUUCUACUCAGAAUUAAAGAUAAAUGAAUAAUUAUAUUAAUAACUGGGAAAACUGACUUGUAAAACUCAACACAUUGAGUUCAAUGCCUCAGAUAUUUAUUGAGCAGCUAUUACAUGCAAAGCACUGUAGGAAUAGACCCAAGGGUUCGGGUCUGGCAGGAGGAAAGACAAGAACCCAUAGAAUUAUAUGCCAGAUGGCAGUUCUAAGUGUUAAGAGUUUAUAAAAUGCUAAGGAGUCCAGAGAAGUAAAGAAUCAUCUCUAAAUUAGGAAUAAUCAAGGAAAGAUUCAUGCAGGCAGUUGAAUUUGAGCUUGGUCUUUGAAAAUGGGUGGAAUUCUUCAUACUCAGAGACUGAAAAGGCCUUUUAAGUGGAGCGAGGGCAAACAGGCAUACAGGUGCCAAGAUGAGGGCAUGUCAAAAAGAACAAAGAGCCCGGUUGGGCUGGAGCAUAUGUAUAGGUAGGGGAGGGGACAGAUAAGACUGGCAGCAGGGUUGGGGUUCUUGAAUGUCAGGCUACAAAGUCUAAGCUUAUUAAUGAUCGGUGAUCUUGGG